GAUGAACGCUGGCGGCGUGCCUAAUACAUGCAAGUCGAGCGAAUGGAUUAAGAGCUUGCUCUUAUGAAGCUAGCGGCGGACGGGUGAGUAACACGUGGGUAACCUGCCCAUAAGACUGGGAUAACUACGGGAAACCGGGGCUACUACCGGAAAACAUUUUGAACCGCAUGGUUCGAAAUUGAAAGGCGGCUUCGGCUGUCAAUUAUGGAUGGACCGGCGUCGCAUUAGCUAGUUGGUGAGGUAACGGCUCACCAAGGCAACGUUGCGUAGCCGGCCGGAGAGGGUGAUCGGCCACACUGGAACUGAGACACGGCCCAGACUCCUACGGGAGGCAGCAGUAGGGAAUCUUCCGCAAUGGACGAAAGUCUGACGGAGCAACGCCGCGUGAGUGAUGAAGGCUUUCGGGUCGUAAAACUCUGUUGUUAGGGAAGAACAAGUGCUAGUUGAAUAAGCUGGCACCUUGACGGUACCUGACCAGAAAGCCACGGCUAACUACGUGCCAGCCGCCGCAGUAA
rnacentral:rRNA from 1 species